rnacentral:rRNA from 1 species
AGUGAACGCUGGCGGUAGGCCUAACACAUGCAAGUCGAACGGCAGCACAGUAAGAGCUUGCUCUUACGGGUGGCGAGUGGCGGACGGGUGAGGAAUACAUCGGAAUCUACUUUUUCGUGGGGGAUAACGUAGGGAAACUUACGCUAAUACCGCAUACGACCUACGGGUGAAAGCAGGGGAUCUUCGGACCUUGCGCGAUUGAAUGAGCCGCUGUCGGAUUAGCUAGUUGGCGGGGUAAAGGCCCACCAAGGCGACGAUCCGUAGCUGGUCUGAGAGGAUGAUCAGCCACACUGGAACUGAGACACGGUCCAGACUCCUACGGGAGGCAGCAGUGGGGAAUAUUGGACAAUGGGCGCAAGCCUGCUCCAGCCAUACCGCGUGGGUGAAGAAGGCCUUCGGGUUGUAAAGCCCUUUUGUUGGGAAAGAAAAGCAGCAGGUUAAUACCCCGCUGUUCUGACGGUACCCAAAGAAUAAGCACCGGCUAACUUCGU